UGGCCGCCGCCACUAUCUCCUCUUCUCCCCACCUUCCUCUUUUCCUCUCUGUGAACAAACGAAGAAACACUGCCACCACCAUCCUCACCAUGGCGUCGCCGCUCCCCAGCUCCCCUCUCCGUUCUGAGGGCACCGUUAGAUGCGCCUCGUCCUCCUCUUUCUCCGUGUGCAAGGAAUCGAGCCGGGGUUCACCCAAUCAACGUCAAAAUCGUCGUUCCCUUCUCCAACUCCGGCGAGUAAUUCAUCAAUUCCGGCCACCCUCGUCAUCCUCCGUCCAAACCGAGCACGCCCUCGGCUUCCCCGCGUCCGGGCGCAUCCUCGACUCCAUCUUGAUCGUCCCCGUUUGCUUCCAGCCGUCAAGUUCGUCUCCGACCAGGGCUGCCCGUCAUGGCCGCCAUGUCCGAGCUCCGCCUCCGUGUGCUUCUAGUUGUUGGGCGACCCAGAACCAACACCAUCUGAACCAGCAGCGCAGUGGUAACAUCCUGAUCCCGCAGGCAUAGAUGGUUCUUCUUGCGUCGACACUUUCAACAGCCAACAAUAGCAGAUCUGCAGAUGGGCCUCGUCCCAGAUCUUUCCCUGUGCGGCCCAUUGCCGCGCGUUCAGCAACUUCUCACCGCACGCGGCUCAGGCCCAGUCCAUUCCGAUGCAUCAUGAGACCAGAUCCGGCCCAGGGCAUGUCAGCAUUUGCUUCUUCACGGAUAGGAUCACGAAGUGGUGUGGUGAGAUACGACAAGUUCUCCGGAUGUUCCUCGGCAAGUUUUAACACGCAAGCAUUUCCCCUAUACUUCUGCCCCUGCAGAAGUCGCUCUCCUAUUUUAUUUUGCCUUCUCCCUCAUGCUAUCCUUGAGUUGCGUUCUUGUCACGUGUCCCUUCCACUUGUUACCUCAAGCAGCCUAUAUUGCCUCCACCAACCACCUACAGCUAUUGUUUGGUUACCGGGUCUGCCUUGCGCGUCGUAGUGCAUUCUAGUGCUGUUUAUAUCGUGUUACCCUUAUCGCUAUCUUAUCGGGUUAUCUGUUGGGAGAUCAUGACACAUGGUUUAUGGUUAUAUCUGAUGAGGAUAUCAUGGUUACUUGUUAAUAGUUGUUAGCGGAGGCAUCGGUGGGUCAGCUGAUCGUUUUGUGAUGGCUCACUUGUGUUUCUUUAAAGCUUAGGACCUCGAGUUCUUGUUAUCUGUUCCGAGACUAAGCGCUCUAACCACACGUGGGUAUGCUUCUGGGUCUCCCCUCGACCACUGCCGGAAUCUACAGCUUUGUCCAGUGGCCACAACUAGUUUAUAUGUUUUACCAUUUGUUGUUGCGUGCAUGCCAGCUUGUUACUUAUUUAUUUUGGGAAGCCCCUGGGUGCCUUGUAUCCCUUGUUUCUGGUAUGCACGUAUAGGUGCGGCACGAGCGUUUAUCGCGUGCUGAAGCGAGUCAUUCGCCCCAGUGUGUGUUUUGACCCUCGGAAGUCGUGGUCGCAAACAGCUAGGUCCGUCUCGGAGAUUCGGCCGGACUUCGAUUCGGGUUCAACUUAGUUAGGUGGCUUCCUGGACAUUGUUGUCGUGAAGGAGAGUGUGUGUCAUGAUAUCCUUCCCUUGCUAGGUUGGGUUGAUCGUGCGUGUGGGCACAUUUGGGCACCCCUGCAGGGUAAAAUCUUAUCGAUAAGCCGUGUCCGCGGUUAUGGACGACUUGGAGCUGUAUGACUCGACCAUAGACAACUUACACCUGCUGUUUCAAUCAUAAUAACUUGCGUAGUAAGUUAGCGCAACUCUAAUAAUAAAUGGUUAAAACUUGACAACCGUGUGAGUGCCUUUGUAAGUACUUCGUUGCGAGGGGGGAACGCAUCGGCUGUGUUAUGUUUGCAGAGUAUAGAACUGUUAGUUAUGCGCUCUCUCACCUUCUCUGAUUAGACGACUGUUGUAGAGUGUCUCUAUAGGUUUUUAGUACUUGCGCGCUGCCGCUUAACCCCACCAUAUUUCCUAUGACGUUCCUCUUGCUCCUCUAAGUCCCCUGCGUGCCUCAAGUACAAAGGACGACUGGUUGACGAAUGCUUAUACGUCUUGAAGUCUUGUUAAGUACGAACCCGUACUUAUUGUUGCUUCUACGGGAUAUAACCGGGCAGGUAUGAAGAUCGGUACGAUGAAGAACGACGUUAGCAAGGUUACCCUUCCGGCUUGGCCUGGGCAGGGUUAUGGACGCCAUCGUUAUCUUCAGGACUCUUAGUCCAAUUUGUAUCUUGUCCGUACUCGGAUGUAUUUGAUCUUCUGUAUGAUUUGGAUCUUUGUAUGUAUAUAUUUGUAUCUUGACUCGUUGGAGUCGUUGUUGUAAUAUAUCUGUAUCUUGUGGCUCUAUUGUAAUCCUGUUGUAAUGAUUA